rnacentral:rRNA from 1 species
AAACCGUUCAGGGGUAAACCUGAGAAACCCAAAAGAUCGAAUGGGGAGAUUCAUCGUCGACGGCGUUGGCUACCGUUUGUGCGCGAUGCUCCGGGUGGGACCCUGCGGUUCCAUUAGCGAGGGCACGCCACCUUCGGAUCGAACUUUCCUGCGUCGUAGUCGUGCACUUCUCCCCUAGUAGGACGUCGCGACCCGUUGUGUGUCGGUCUACGGCCCGAGCGGGAGACUGUCGCGUCGCUUCGGCGCACGCGGCAGACCCUCGGUAGCCCGGCCGGCUGCACGACGGUACACCAACGGUAUCGGGCCGCAGCCAAUCCAUUCUCGAAUGUGUGUGCGUCCAUCCCGCCGCAAGCUCGGUCAGUUCUUACCCGGAGGUACGGACCCUGUGCCGUCCCCGGGCCUGGCCAGCUGUUAGCAGGCGGUGUCCUCGGACCGGCCAAACCUCGGAUUACCGGUCGGCGACGCUAUUGCUUUGGGUACUCUCAGGACCCGUCUUGAAACACGGACCAAGGAGUCUAACAUGUGCGCGAGUCAUUGGGAUGCACAAACCUAAAGGCGAAAUGAAAGUGAAAGUCGGCCUUCGCGCCGAUCGAGGGAGGAUGGGCCGCGUAACCAUGCGGCCCCGCACUCCCGGGGCGUCUCGUUCUCACUGCGAGAAGAGGCGCACCUAGAGCGUACACGUUGGGACCCGAAAGAUGGUGAACUAUGCCUGGUCAGGACGAAGUCAGGGGAAACCCUGAUGGAGGUCCGUAGCGAUUCUGACGUGCAAAUCGAUCGUCGGAACUGGGUAUAGGGGCGAAAGACUAAUCGAA